rnacentral:rRNA from 1 species
UGGGGAAUAUUGCACAAUGGAGGGAACUCUGAUGCAGCGACGCCGCGUGAGUGAUGAAGGAAUUCGUUUCGUAAAACUCUGUUCUAUGGGAAGAAAAGGACUGUACCAUAGGAGAAAGCUCCGGCUAAAUACGUGCCAGCAACCGCGGUAAUACGUAUGGAGCGAGCGUUGUCCGGAAUUAUUGGGCGUAAAGGGUGCGCAGGCGGCUUUACAAGUUGGAUGUGAAAUAUUGUGGCUCAACCACAAACGUGCAUCCAAAACUGCAAAGCUUGAGUUAAGGAGAGGUAAGUGGAAUUCCUGGUGUAGCGGUGGAAUGCGUAGAUAUCAGGAGGAAUACCGGUGGCGAAGGCGACUUACUGGACUUAAACUGACGCUCAGGCACGAAAGCGUGGGGAGCAAACAGG